CCCAUUUUGUUAAUUUUUUGUCCUCACUCAUUUUUUUCUCGUAUUUGACUUCCACCGAUGGUGCGCCGAAGUUAAUUAUAUUAUUUUGGAGAGUUUGAGUUACAACCGAAUUCAUAUUACCGUGAAUCAAGCAACGGAGGUGGGCAUUUACAGUCGAAAAUCACUUAAUUCCUCUCCAUUUUCGGUGAGACAUACAAACACACCGUU
rnacentral:lncRNA from 1 species